rnacentral:tmRNA from 1 species
GCGGUUGAAACCGGCGCCGCGCGGGUUUAUCUUAGGUCUGUCUCGCAAGAGACUAUGGCGAUAAACGCGCCCGUAAUAAGCGGAUCGGACCCGGGGGCGGUACCCGGCGGCUCCACCAGAACUCCCACAUUGGCGGGAUCAUGGGGCCGAAACAGGAUCGACGGACGUCUAAAGGGGUUAGCUUUCGCCCGGUGAGCUACCACCGUUAUCGGUGCAAGCAUGAUAGUUGCCAAUGACAACCGUGCUCCGGUGGCCGUUGCUGCGUAAGCAGUAACCAAACCGAAAACUUAAGCCCUGUUCCUCUAGCAAGGGCAGGCGGGGUUCGCAGGUACCUGGCAACAGAAACCUGCACC